rnacentral:rRNA from 1 species
GCUGUGGCUAGGGGUGAAAGGCCAAUCAAACUCGGAGAUAUCUGGUUCUCGCCGAAAUGCCUUUAGGGGCAGCGUUACGGUAGUAUCUUGGGGGUAGAGCACUGGAUGGACUAGGGGCCCUACAAGGUUACCAAACCCAACCAAACUCCGAAUACCAAGAUUAUGAUCCGUGGCAGUGAGGCCGUGGGGGAUAAGCUUCAUGGCCGAAAGGGAAACAACCCAGACCAACAGCUAAGGUCCCCAAAUCCGGGUUAAGUGACAAAGGAUGUGGGAUUGCAUAAACAGCUAGGAGGUUGGCUUAGAGGCAGCCAUCCUUUAAAGAAAGCGUAACAGCUCACUAGUCAAGGAAUCCUGCGCCGAUAAUCUCCGGGACUGAUAAACCCGGUACCGAAGCUAUGGUCUUUCCGAUUUAUCGGGAAGAGGUAGGGGAGCGUUCCAUUAACCUGUGAAGCCUUUGCCGGAAGGCGGGGUGGAGGAGAUGGAAGUGAGUAUGCUGGCAUAAGUAGCGAUAAACUCGAUGAAAUUUCGAGUCACCGAAAGCCUAAGGUUUCCUGAGUAAAGUAAAUCUGCUCAGGGUUAGUCGGACCCUAAGCCGAGGCCGAAAGGCGUAGGCGAUGGAUAACAGGUGAAUAUUCCUGUACUACCCUGUUGUCGUCUGAGUGAUGGGGGGACGCAGAAGUGAAAGGUCAGCCCGGUUUUGAUUGUCCGGGUUUAAGUAAGUAGGGGGUCCUGGUAGGCAAAUCCGCCGGGACUUAACCCCGAGAUACGAAUAGGAGGGCCUAGCCCAUAAACUGACCCUAAUCAUGCUGCCAAGAAAAUCCUCUAAACAAGAUGACAGGGUAACCGUACCACAAACCGACACAGGUAGGCGAGAUGAGUAUUCUAAGGUGCUUGGGUGAAUUCCAGUUAAGGAACUCGGCAAAUUGACCCCGUAACUUCGGGAGAAGGGGUGCCUCGAUUAGAUGAAAUCUCCUUCGGGCAGAUGGAGUCGAAAGAGGCCGCAGUGAAAUGGCUCGGGCGACUGUUUACUAAAAACACAGGUCUCUGCUAAGUCGUAAGACGAAAUAUAGGGACUGACACCUGCCCGGUGCCGGAAGGUUAAGGGAAAGUGUUAUCCCGCUUCGGCGGGAGAAGCUCAGAACCGAAGCCCCGGUAAACGGCGGCCGUAACUAUAACGGUCCUAAGGUAGCGAAAUUCCUUGUCGGGUAAGUUCCGACCCGCACGAAUGGUGUAACGACUUGAGCGCUGUCUCUACUGGAAAC